rnacentral:snoRNA from 1 species
CCUUUGAAUCUCUCCCAAGCUUGUUAGAUAUUUUCUCCAUCUUUUUGUCUAAAACUCAAUAUCUCACUCC